rnacentral:rRNA from 1 species
GUCUAUGGCCAUACCACCCUGAACACCCCUGAUCUCGUCUGAUCUUGGAAACUAAGCAAGGUCGGGCCUGGUAAGUACUUGGAUGGGAGACCGCCUGGGAAUACCAGGUGUUGUAGGCU